rnacentral:lncRNA from 1 species
UUUCUCAUGAAUUUUUCUUUUCACAACAUUUAAGCUCAAUGCUUUUUACUUUUUUUUUGUUUUUUUUUAUUUUUUAUUUUUCCCCCGUACAACCCCAAACUUGAACCUUUUCAUCAUAUACAAUUAAGCUCAUCCCAACUCAGGGUAAAGAAUUUCAGAACAAGGGUUCACAUCCUCUUUAAGCUUAAGGUUCAAAAAGGGUAUAAUAUUUCAAGCACUUUGGGUGAAAAUUUGGCUAGAGAAGGUUUUCAAAAAUGGCCUUGAUCAUAUGACAUUCAAAUGCAAUUCAAUCGAUCAUCAAGAUUAAGGCAAUAUCAUCCAUGUUUUCCUGUGAAUAAUACAUGCAACAAUAAAAACUCUGGAGCUCAAAAUCUCACACACAUGCUUCCUCACACAAAAUUCAUUCAUACACCAUGCCUAGCAUCAUGACCACAAUCAUAAAUUCAUCACCCAUCUAUUUCCUGGAUAUCAACAUGCAUUGCAACUCAAUUCUCAUCCACAUCAAAUAAUCAUCAAAUAG